CGAGGAUGCUUACCUGCAGUCGAACGAAAUCUUCGGAUUUAGUGGCGGACGGGUGAGUAACGCGUGAGAAUCUAGCUUCAGGUCUGGGACAACCACUGGAAACGGUGGCUAAUACCGGAUGUGCCGAGAGGUGAAAGGCUUGCUGCCUGAAGAUGAGCUCGCGUCUGAUUAGCUAGUAGGUGGGGUAAGAGCCUACCUAGGCGACGAUCAGUAGCUGGUCUGAGAGGAUGACCAGCCACACUGGGACUGAGACACGGCCCAGACUCCUACGGGAGGCAGCAGUGGGGAAUUUUCCGCAAUGGGCGAAAGCCUGACGGAGCAAUACCGCGUGAGGGAGGAAGGCUCUUGGGUUGUAAACCUCUUUUCUCAGGGAAGAACAAAAUGACGGUACCUGAGGAAUCAGCAUCGGCUAACUCCGUGCCAGCAGCCGCGGUAAUACGGAGGAUGCAAGCGUUAUCCGGAAUGAUUGGGCGUAAAGCGUCCGCAGGUGGCUGUGUAAGUCUGCUGUCAAAGAGCGAAGCUCAACUUCGUAAAGGCAGUGGAAACUACACGGCUAGAGUGCGUUCGGGGCAGAGGGAAUUCCUGGUGUAGCGGUGAAAUGCGUAGAGAUCAGGAAGAACACCGGUGGCGAAGGCGCUCUGCUAGGCCGCAACUGACACUGAGGGACGAAAGCUAGGGGAGCGAAUGGGAUUAGAUACCCCAGUAGUCCUAGCUGUAAACGAUGGAUACUAGGCGUGGCUUGUAUCGACCCGAGCCGUGCCGUAGCUAACGCGUUAAGUAUCCCGCCUGGGGAGUACGCACGCAAGUGUGAAACUCAAAGGAAUUGACGGGGGCCCGCACAAGCGGUGGAGUAUGUGGUUUAAUUCGAUGCAACGCGAAGAACCUUACCAAGGCUUGACUUGUCGCGAACUUUUCUGAAAGGAAGAGGUGCCUUCGGGAGCGCGAACCCGGGUGGUGCAUGGCUGUCGUCCGCUCGUGUCGUGAGAUGUUGGGUUAAGUCCCGCAACGAGCGCCACCCUCGUUUUUAGUUGCCCGCCUUAGGUGGGGCCCCUUAGAGAGACUGCCGGUGACAAACCGGAGGAAGGUGGGGAUGACGUCAAGUCAGCAUGCCCCUUACGCCUUGGGCUACACACGUACUACAAUGCUACGGACAGAGGGCAGCAAGCUAGCGAUAGCAAGCAAAUCCCAGAAACCGUAGCUCAGUUCAGAUCGAAGGCUGCAACUCGCCUUCGUGAAGGAGGAAUCGCUAGUAAUUGCAGGUCAGCAUACUGCAGUGAAUUCGUUCCCGGGCCUUGUACACACCGCCCGUCACACCAUGGAAGCUGGCAACGCCCGAAGUCAUUACUCCAACCAUUCGUGGGGGAGGAUGCCUAAGGCAGUCGGUC
rnacentral:rRNA from 2 species